UACGGGGGGAGCAAACGUUGUUCGGAAUCACUGGGCGUAAAGGGCGUGUAGGCGGCUGAAUAAGUGGGAUGUUAAAUCCCCCGGCUCAACCGGGGAACUGCAUCUCAUACUGUUCAGCUUGGGUACAGCAGAGGAGACUGGAAUUCCCGGUGUAGCAGUGAAAUGCGUAGAUAUCGGGAGGAACACCAGUGGCGAAGGCGAGUCUCUGGGCUGAUACCGACGCUGAGACACGAAAGCGUGGGUAGCAAACGGG
rnacentral:rRNA from 1 species